rnacentral:rRNA from 1 species
GGAAUAUUGGACAAUGGGGGGAACCCUGAUCCAGCGACGCCGCGUGAGUGAAGAAGUAUUUCGGUAUGUAAAGCUCUGUCAGCAGGGAAGAAAGCAAUGACGGUACCUGACCAAGAAGCCCCGGCUAACUACGUGCCAGCAGCCGCGGUAAUGCGUAGGGGGCAAGCGUUAUCCGGAUUUACUGGGUGUAAAGGGAGCGUAGACGGUUAUGCAAGUCUGGAGUGAAAGGCGGGGGCUCAACCCCCGGACUGCUCUGGAAACUGUAGAACUAGAGUGCAGGAGGGGUAAGUGGAAUUCCUAGUGUAGCGGUGAAAUGCGUAGAUAUUAGGAGGAACACCAGUGGCGAAGGCGGCUUACUGGACUGUAACUGACGUUGAGGCUCGAAAGCGUGGGGAGCAAACA